CCUACGGGUGGCAGCAGUGGGGGAUAUUGCACAAUGGGGGGAACCCUGAUGCAGCGACGCCGCGUGGGUGAAGAAGCGCCUCGGCGCGUAAAGCCCUGUCAGCAGGGAAGAAAAUGACGGUACAUGAAGAAGAAGCUCCGGCUAACUACGUGCCAGCAGCCGAGGUAAUACGUAGGGGGCAAGCGUCAGCCGGAUUGACUGGGUGUAAAGGGGGUGCAGCCGGCGAUGCAAGCCAGGAGUGAGAGCCCGGGGCCCCACCCCGGGACUGCUCUUGGAACUGCGUGGCUGGGGUGCAGGAGGGGCAGGCGGAAUUCCUGGUGUAGCGGUGAACUGCGUAGAUAUCAGGAGGAACACCGGUGGCGAAGGCGGCCUGCUGGACUGCAACUGACGUUGAGGCCCGAAAGCGUGGGGAGCAAACAGGAUUAGAUACCCUAGUAGUC
rnacentral:rRNA from 1 species